rnacentral:rRNA from 1 species
CUCGAAGAACGAACGCUGGCGGCAGGCCUAACACAUGCAAGUCGAGCGAGGAGCAAUCCCUAGCGGCGGACGGGUGAGUAACGCGUGGGAACGUGCCCCUUGGUACGGAAUAGCCCCGGGAAACUGGGAGUAAUACCGUAUGUGGUCGAGAGACGAAAGAUUUAUCGCCAAGGGAUCGGCCCGCGUUGGAUUAGGUAGUUGGUGGGGUAAUGGCCUACCAAGCCGACGAUCCAUAGCUGGUUUGAGAGGAUGAUCAGCCACACUGGGACUGAGACACGGCCCAGACUCCUACGGGAGGCAGCAGUGGGGAAUCUUAGACAAUGGGCGCAAGCCUGAUCUAGCCAUGCCGCGUGAGCGAUGAAGGCCUUAGGGUUGUAAAGCUCUUUCGUGGGGGAAGAUAAUGACUGUACCCCAAGAAGAAGCCCCCGGCUAACUCCGUGCCAGCAGCCGCGGUAAUACGGAGGGGGCUAGCGUUGUUCGGAAUUACUG